CCUUUGAAGGCAAGGACUAUGUCCUAUUCCACCUUGAAUUCUCAUCACCAAGCGGAACGCCUGACACCUAAUCUAGUCAGUGCUUACUAAGUGCUCAUUAUCAAUGCAAGAAUAACAGAGCUAUGGAACCUGGCAGACACCUCAUUUCUCUGGGCCUCAGUCUUCUCAUGCAGAACUUGGGAUUGGACUAAAUUGGAUCUCCUAGGCUUCCUCUGACUCUAACGAUUCUCUGAUUUAAAUUAUUCUUCAUCUGGAUGUAAUCCACCUUGCUUUUCCAUCCCAGGCUCUGUUCUCACUCAUGGCUGAUGGGCAAAGGCGACUAAGGAGGCACAGCUCCGCGAGGAUGUCCUUACAACUUUGCAACCCCCAAGGAAAAAGAGGUUGUUUUCCCAAUAUCUACUGUAAAACCUAAGAGGAAAAUUUCGCGUUGCUGCAGCUUGGAUCAUGCAUUUAUCAUUUGGACCACCUCUGAGGACAGGGAGUUGCAGUCUAUGUGGAUUUUAUGGAAUAGAUGCUAUGUGGUGGAAUCCUGAGUCACGGCCAAACAGCAAAUGCCAGCAAGAGUAGAGUAGGAGGCAUUUCUGUGUACACUUUGGGAAAAAGUCCAUUCCUCACUUGGUUUCAUUUCUGGCCUGAGCCACUGUGUCCUCCACCUGAAGCCCUGACCUCUCCGUUACUGACUGGAUCCCAAUGUGCCACAGUUCACCUGCAUAAGGAGGGAGUCGAAGACAAGAAAACUGUGAGAGGCUAAGUCAUUUGCUGAGGUCAUAUGACAUCUAAAUGGCAGAGCUCAGAAACCUCAGGGAUUAGAGUGAAGUAGGUGAGGAAAUGAGACAUCAAAAGAUUAAGUGACUUGCUAAAAUUUACACUGCCUACGAAAGCUGACCUGGAAUGUGAACCAGAAAUUGUCCUUAACCAAAUCACCUCACUGUCUCUCAAGAGAUGGGGUCUCACUACAUUGCCCAGGCUGGCUCUCAAAUUCCUGGCCUCAGACGAUCCUCUUGCCUUGGCCUCCCAAUAUGCUGGGAUUACAGGCAUGAGCCAACACACCCAGCUAUGAAUAUUUUUUAUCAGGAAGAAGCUUUUGGCUGUAAGAACAGAAAGUUCCAACUCUACCAACUUGCACACUUAUUUAAUAUCUGGAGGUGGGGCAGUUCCGGGACUGGCUGUUGCAGUGGCUCAUUUGAAGCCAUCUGGUCUCCAGCUUCCUUCCCCCUUUCUGCUCUGCCCUGUCCAGUGUGCUGGCCUCUUUCUCAGGCUGGUUGCCCCCAGCUAGCAAGGGGGCUGCAGACCCCAAACAUCGCAUUCUCAUGCAACAACCACAGGCAGAGAAAGGUGCUGUUUAUUCACCUGUGUCUCUUCUUACCAGGUAUUAAAGAAACAUCUUGUG